rnacentral:tmRNA from 2 species
GGGGAUGACGGGAUUCGACACGGGGCAAGGGAUGGGGUGCCAUGCCGAGCAGCCCAACGUUAGGGGCACGAAAGGUGCAACGAGUAACAGGUUCGCCAUGGUGGCUAAUGAUUGCCAGUUCGCGUUAGUCGGAAGAGCAGCGGUGUAGUGCGAAGGUAUACUGAUGGACUAGGCUGACGGUCAUAGUGCGACUGUAAACAAAGCAUGUUGUGCACCCCCCACACCUCCCUGCUGGACGUGGGUUCAAUUCCCACCAUCUCCACCA